ACAGCUGAGGGCUGUGCUUGUCCUCCCCGGGGUGGGAUGGCUGUGGUCAGAGGCUGGGGAGCUGUAUGGGAGGGCACAGUAGUGCUAGAGGUGGUCUGGGGAUGUUUCAUCAAAGCCUGGCUAAAGGAAAUGGCUUUGGGGGGAUUUUCUGAAGGUAUAGGAAGCCUUUGUUGGUAGAUGUGAAAGAUAGGGACAGCAGCAUGGAUGUGGAUUUGGGUUAUGAAAUACAGGGGUGAAAUCAGAGAAAUGGGACUGUAAUGAGGUGCUCUGAGUAAAGGGACUCCAGUGGUUAACUGGGAUUGCUGUUGUUGUGACAGGUGAAUGGGAAGAUAGAGGAAACUAGAGAACCAAUGGGUGGGAAUGGGGCUCCCCCAUGGAGCAGCACAUGGAUGUUGGCAAGCCUCUGUUCCAGGAGAAAAGAAAGAAACAGACCAAGAGAGGGGUUUUCCACAGCUUCACAUUAACAGGGAGGAAAUGUGUGCACGAAGUCUCCAACAGGGGGUUAGUCACAGCGGUGAGUGUGUUUCAGGCUUGCUCAGCGUGCUGUUGGCACAGAGGCACACGUGGGAGGGCAGAGUGCAUCUGCUGAGGGACUUGGAGCUGCGUGAUCACUGCUGCCCAAACUGCUCCAUGUGAGCAACAACUGAUGCUUCCAGCCCAUGGGAGCUCAUUUUUGGUGGGAGUUAUGGCUGCAGCUACUCCAUAUGCCACAGGGUCUAGGAUCCAGGAGGACAAGUUGUGUGUCUAGAUCAUGGUAGCUAUUGGGAAAGGCACUCUUUGGUAGCAGCACCCUGCCUCGCGUGUUGGUCCACAUCCAAACAAACCUCUACCACCACCUGGAAGUGGAUGUGGUGGUUUUAAAGCAGCAUUACGUACCUGGCACACUCCUGUGCACUCGUGGGGGCUGAUGAUGGAUCCACGCCACGUUACACAGCUCCACACACCCCGGUGCCCACAGCAUCCCCUCCCCAGACACGGGCAGUCAAACACUACCUGUGCCUUCAGCAGCCGUGACACCUCCUUGGGACUGCACAAUGUCCAAGCACCCUUCCAGAGACCACCAGGUACACAAAACCAUGCCUGAGGCCAGCUGGGGUUGGAGAAUGUCUAAAGGCAGAUGGUUUAGAUCGUUUCCAGGAUACUAACCAGUCUGCCUGUAAAACCCCAGGAGGAGACAGGAGAAUUAGGAGAAGAGGAGGAAGCUAUGAACUUUGAGAAAGCCAGCAGGUCUGUCAUCUCCAGUCAUUUCAUUAUUCCCGUGCCUAAAAUUUGUGGUGUUCAAUCACACAGAGGUCACAAGACAAAAGGGGGCUGAGAAGCUUGGAAAAUCAGAGUAAGUUUUGAUUGCCUGGAACAGGGACAUCCCACAAAGGCAUGCAACAAUUGUAAUAGGUGCCCACAGACAGCGUUAGUCAGGCUCUGCCGUUACCUUUCCAAGGACCGUUCCUCAAAGCCACCACGACCUGCAGAGCCCACGGGGAGAAGUGGGAAUGUCUCCUGCCUGUGACCUUCCCUGGAGCCCUCGCUGUGGUCAGAAGUGUCUGCCAUGAAGCCACUUGUGCCCAGGACAGCUUUUCAGAGGAAACCCAUGGAAAUAAGGAAGCUGUGGAAAAGGCUGGCUUGCAAGACAGAGCAGAGGUGGGUGGUGCUCAGCCAGCACCAGACACUUGCUCUUCAGCUGUGCUCUGGGGAAGGAAGAGAAAUCCCUGCAGCCUUAAGGAAAUGCAUGCACAGAGCCAAGGCGCAUGCCCUGAAAGGCAGCCUGCUCUGCCCCGUGGUUUUUAGGUGUUUUAAUGCCCUGGUGAACAAGUCCUGAUCUGCAGAAGCUCUGCUUCCCUGGCAUCCUUGGCGGUUUGAACCAGCAGCCUCACACUGCUCAUGAGUUAUUGCAAGCAAUGAAAUGAGCUGCAUGGAGCACAUUUUUAAUUUUACCAUGACUGCAAAGCACAGGGACCGAGCAGGCCUUGCGAUGCAAGGUGGGUUUUGCUUUCUGCUGCUGGUUGGGGGUGCCCGUAAGUCAGAGCCGUGUCCGUGUUUUUUUUCUCCAGCUGCUCCAUCAGCGUGGAUCUCUGGGCUGUCAAACCGGAUUACAGCUGCAGUGGCUUUAUGCUUCCCGAAACUCUCUGUUCCCAGUGUCUGCCCCAUUAGCCACAUGCCCCUCUGCCAAAAAUUAUAUUUGAGUAUUUGAUUAACUGGUAACAAGCCCAGACUCCCACAGGAACUCGUGCCAGCCAGAUAUCUCAUAGCCUCAGGGAUGCUCAACUUUUUCUUUAAAGAAAGAGAGGAUGAGAAGACACAUGAGUGAGCAGGGGCACUCUUCAUACCAGCUCGCGCUUCUGUUUGAUUCCGUGUGGCACAGCACAGCUUGAAAAAAUCUGCUGACCCAGGGAAAGCUAUACCAACACCUCAACGGUGCCAGGCCAGGGCUGCCUCCAGCUACUGCACGAAAGGGAUGCCGUGCUAAGCUUGUUGCUUGCACACUGCUGGGGUCAAUUUGCCUGCUUCGCACUGGUUUUGCAUUUGGAGGGAAAACAGAGCCUGGCCAUGGGAUGAGUGGCAAAGCUGGGUCUUUUGGCAGGGCUUUGGGUGCACAGGAGGUGCUGGAGGGUUUGCUUUUCUGUGUGCCCCAGGCUAAUCACGACCUCUCCUGCUAUAUGUCUUUACUCCCAGAGAGCCCCCGCCAUGCUUCACUGUCAGGCUCAGCUAUUGCCAUGCUGAAUUUCCCUUGCUUUUAGGAUUAGGAUUCCCUCUGCUCCGGCUCCAUUACAAGGCUCAGCAUGAUUUCCAAGGCACUUUUACAAAACCACUCAGGAGCUUUUUUGCAAGGAUUUCUCCCCUCAUGCAGCGAGCAUGAGGCAGGAUAAGGCCUCAGGGUGGUCAGGAGCAGCUGCCACGAC